GGAACAAAGAGGAUCUCUUGGGGUUUAUGGGACCUAACUCCAAAACCCAGCUUAACUGACUCAUGGCCAAAUCCUGUGUUUCCUGACUUAUUUAAUCCCAUCAUCAAAGUGGUUUGUGUUUUUGAGACCCACAAACAAUAAGUAGAUGAGGGAGUAACGUGACAUUUUUCCCUUACAGCCUGGAGUGCAGUGGUGUGAUCAGGCUCACUGCAGCCUCAACCUCCCAAGGUCAAUUGAUCCUCCCACGUUAGCAUCCUGAAGAGCUGGGACUACAGACAGCAUUCCUUUAGGAUUGGAGUUAUCAUAGUGAAAAAAGAAGAUAAAAACCCAUGGUACAUUUCAUGGGGGUGAGGAUAUAGAGAAGAAGAAAGAUUAGGCAGGAAGAACCUUCUGGCAAAAGACCAGGCAGUGCAAGUCCAGAGGCAAGAGGCUGGCUGUGUGUUUAAAGCACACCAAGGUGGACAGUGUAACUGCAGCAGUAAUAACAGAAAGGAGAGUAAGACAAGAGAUCAGAAAAAUGAGAAGAUCUGCAGGAUCAGAAAAUUUUUUUUAAAGUCAGAUUUCCAAGUCCACAGAAUAAAUAAAAUGGCUGAAGAGAAACUAGGGUCUCCGCAUACAAAUUAGACCUGGGCUGCUGCAUCUUCUGGCUCUCGUUUGGUGGAUCUGUUCCAGAAGAUGAAGCUCUGUGCAGAGCGAGGAGGGUCAGAGGAACAUAAUUUAUAAUAAUCACAUGAAAAACUUUCCGAUUAGAAAAGGCAAAACUUGGAACAAAAAUUACCCUCAAUAUAAAAAGAAAUUUAAAAAGUGCCUGUUGGAGUAAAUGCCUUCAUUAUGUCAAGCAUUUAUAGAAAUUGUUCAAUUUAUAAGGAAGUGGAUGGGCGCGGUGACUCACAUCUGUAAUCCCAGCACUAUGGGAGGCCAAGUGCUGGAAGAUGGAAAGUCUAAGACCAAGGUGCUGGCAGAUUCAGUUCUUGAUGAGGGCCCUCUUUCUGGCUUGCAGAUGGUCAUCUUCUUGCUGUGUUCUCCUAAGGAAGAGAGAGGAAGUUCUGAUGUCUCCUAAGUACGUUAAUGCCAUCAUGGGAGUUCCACACUUAUGAUCUUAUCUAAGCCUUAUUACACCCCUCGCCCAAAGCCCCACCUUCUAAUACCUUCACAGUGAAGGUUAUGGCUUCAACCCAUGAUUGUUUCUGAGGGGACACAAACAUUCAGUCCAUAAUACCAUAACCCAGAAAUGUAAUGCUUACAUGUUUACUCUCCCCAAAUGAAAACUUGCCUGUACAAAGAUCUGUAUGUAGAUGUUUAUAGAUAGAAGCCUUGUUCAUAAUCACAAAAAAAAUGGAAACAAUAAAAAUGUCUUA